UACAGAGGUCCCAAGCGUUGUUCGGAUUCACUGGGCGUAAAGGGUGCGUAGGUGGCCGGUUAAGUCUGACGUGAAAUCUCCGAGCCUAACUCGGAAACUGCAUCGGAAACUAUCCGGCUCGAGGGUUGGAGGGGGGACUGGAAUUCCCGGUGUAGCAGUGAAAUGCGUAGAUAUCGGGAGGAACACCAGUGGCGAAGGCGACACGCUGGGCCGUACCUGACACUGAUGCGCGACAGCAUGGGGAGCAAACAGG
rnacentral:rRNA from 1 species